AAAAAUAAAAAAAUAAAAAUAAAGCAUCACAGAUGUGGAUGAACAAAAUUGUAUUUCAUUGAUGAUAAUAAGGAAAAUGCCCAACAAUGUUCACUUCUCCCUUAGGCAUAUGAGAAGGAAUUUAAUUAAAAUAAUGAAAACAAAUUACUUAGAACGGUGCACAACAAUAGGAACAUCAACAACAAUCCAGUUGUGGCAUGUAUCUUCG
rnacentral:lncRNA from 1 species